GCUCUACUACAUACAUGUAGAGUGAUACCUGCUCCAUGGCUACAAAUAAACAAUAAUAGUAGUUAAAUAGCCGCGGUAACUCUGACCGUGAUAAAGUAGCAUAAUCACUCGUCAUUUAAUUGGUGACUGGAAUGAAUGGUUUUACGAAUUUCCAACUGUCUCAGUAAUAAAAUUAAUGAAAUUAAACUAAUAGUGAAGAUGCUAUUUAUAAAUUGUAAGACGAAAAGACCCUAUCGAGCUUUACUAAAUGCUUAAAUAAACAAAUACUCAAAAUAUUUUAGGACAGAAAUAUUUAAGCUAAUUAGUUUGGUUGGGGCGACCACCUCUAAAAAAGUAUCAGAGGAGAUCUAAUGGUUGAUAUUAAUAUAAAAAAGCCUAACUGUAUAUAAAUGCAUUAAUCAGUUACAACAAGUAGGAUAUAAUGACCCGUUGGAGCUAUCUAAAUACCUAACGACUACAAAAAAAGUUACCGUAGGGAUAACAGGGUAAUAUUCUCGAAGAGUUCUUAUCGAUGAGAAUGUUUGCCACCUCGAUGUUGAAUUAUGAUACCCUAAAGGUGCAGAAGCUUUUAAGGGUUG
rnacentral:rRNA from 1 species